rnacentral:lncRNA from 1 species
AUCAGCCAAAAGCUUCUCUGAUGGUGGUUCCUUCCUUUUCUUAGAUACCUCUUGAUUAAGUGCAGGUUGCUUGCCCUUGUCCUUGGCAAGGAUCUUAUGCGUAGGAAUUGAAAUCCUUUUAGACACAGUAGGUGGAGGUGAAGGCGUUCCACUUGCUGAAGAUGAUGAAGGUGAAGGGGUAUGGGCUUGGGUCUGUUUCACACGAGCCAUGUUUGUA